rnacentral:rRNA from 1 species
UGGGGAGUACGGUCGCAAGAUUGAAACUCAAAUGAAUUGACGGGGGCCUGCACAAGCGUUGGAGCAUGUGGUUUAAUUCGAAGCAAACGCGAUGAACCUUACCAAAUCUUUGACAUCCUUAUGACCGGCAUUUAAUUUUGCUUUCUCCUCGGAGCAUAAGUGACAGGUGGUGCAUGGUUGUCGUCAGCUCGUGUUGUGAGAUGUUGGGUUAAGUCCCGCAACGAGCGCAACCCUUAUCUUUAGUAGCCAGCACGUUGAGGUGGGAACUCUAGAGAGAUUGCCGGGGAUAACUCGGAGGAAGGUGGGGAUGACGUCAAAUCAUCAUGCCCCUUAUGAUUUGGGCUACACACGUGUUACAAUGGCGGAUACAAAGAGAAGCGACAGGGUGACCUUAAGCAAACCUCAUAAAGUCCGUCCCAGUUCGGAUUGUAGUCUGCAACUCGACUACAUGA